rnacentral:rRNA from 1 species
CGUACACUCCUACGGGAGGCAGCAGUGGGGAAUAUUGGACAAUGGGCGCAAGCCUGAUCCAGCCAUGCCGCGUGAGUGAUGAAGGCCCUAGGGUUGUAAAGCUCUUUCACCGGUGAAGAUAAUGACGGUAACCGGAGAAGAAGCCCCGGCUAACUUCGUGCCAGCAGCCGCGGUAAUACGAAGGGGGCUAGCGUUGUUCGGAUUUACUGGGCGUAAAGCGCACGUAGGCGGACUAUUAAGUCAGGGGUGAAAUCCCGGGGCUCAACCCCGGAACUGCCUUUGAUACUGGUAGUCUUGAGUUCGAGAGAGGUGAGUGGAAUUCCGAGUGUAGAGGUGAAAUUCGUAGAUAUUCGGAGGAACACCAGUGGCGAAGGCGGCUCACUGGCUCGAUACUGACGCUGAGGUGCGAAAGCGUGGGGAGCAAACAGGAUUAGAAACCCCAGUAGUCCCAUG